ACGCUCGACACCUACGGGAAGCAGCAGUGGGGAAUAUUGCACAAUGGGGGAAACCCUGAUGCAGCAACGCCGCGUGAAGGAAGACGGUUUUCGGAUUGUAAACUUCUGUUCUUAGUGAAGAUAGUGACGGUAGCUAAGGAGCAAGCCACGGCUAACUACGUGUCAGCAGCCGCGGUAAUCUGAGCGGGCUGGCAAGGC
rnacentral:rRNA from 1 species